ensembl:snRNA U6 U6 spliceosomal RNA
GUGCUUGCUUUUGCAGCUUGUAUUCUAAAACUGGAACGAAACAGAGAUGGUUAGCCUGGCUCCUGUGCGAGGAUGACCAGCGGGUUCAUGAAACGUUUCAUACCUUG